rnacentral:rRNA from 1 species
CUGCAGCCCGAGUGGUGAUCGAUUUUAUUGAGCCUAAAGCGUCCGUAGCCGGACUAGUAAACCCUUGGGUAAAUUGGGCAGCUUAACUGUCCAAAUUCCGAGAGGACUGCUAGUCUUGGGACCGGGAGAGGUCAGAGGUACUCCAGGGGUAGGGGCUAAAUCCGAUAUGCUUUCGUGGCAUUCGGUUAGCAUUCCUGUAAUCCUUGGGGGACCACCAGUGGCGAAGGCGUCUGACUAGAACGGAUCCGACGGUAAGGGACGAAACCCUGGGGCGCGAACCGGAUUAGAUACCCGAGUAGUCC